rnacentral:lncRNA from 1 species
CGCUCGAAUCAAAAAAAUGUUUAAAGGGCCAAAUAAAGUACGAAGUUGAAUAGCAUUGAGGACCGAAAAUUUCUAAAAGUUUUGCCAAAUACAGCUAAGGUUAUCUAUUCCUGAGGUAGAAAAGCCUUAGUUUUUCAAAAAUUCAAAGUUUUAUUAACAGUUAAUUUAUAAUUAUGAACAUAUCAUAUAGAAGUGCUGACUACUGGGCUUGUGAUACCCUCGGGGAAAUAAAUCUCCACCAGCAGUGGCAUCGACCCAGUGGUUGCAAAUAAACUCAUCAUAGAUGAUUAUGAGUAAAAUCUAUCAUUAAUAAAUUCAAAGAUAAUUCAUUCAAAUUAGCAUUACAGAUAGUAACAAAUGUACAAAGUAGAUAUAUGCUUCUACAAAAAAAACCCAGUAUAAAUACAUUGUUUUCAAUUUCACACCACCCAAUUAAGUUUCCUG